GUUGGGGUGAGUCUCUCCUCCCCUGUGAACCCCCCCGUCUACUCUGGCUACGCCCCCUCCCCCCAGGCCUACGAACCAGCCCCCUCAUACCCCAGCUACCCCGCCCCCCAGGCCGAGCAGUACCAGCCAGAGCCGCCCAAAUAUUCAAGAGAUCCCGACUAUGACGAAGAAGAGCAAGACCUCAACAGCAUCCCUGGCGAGCCCGGCAAGGACUACCCCGUGCACGCCGUCAUCCCCAACACCGGCUUCUCCUGCAGCGAAAGACUACCUGGCUUCUACGCCGACGAAGCCGCGCAUUGCCAGGU